rnacentral:misc_RNA from 1 species
AGGAGUCGUAUGAGGUAAUUCCUCACGUACGGAUCUGUGCGGGGGGGGGGGGCGGUAACGGGCAUUCCUACCGUGAU